GAGGAAGGCAGCCUGGUUGAAGAAGAAAGGCACACUGCAGACUUGAAUAAGGCUCGCAGCCACAGCAGCAAGAAAGAGACGUCCAGGUCUCACCUAGAUCUCAUCUGAUUCUCCUUCCCGACAGUCAUCCUGUCUUCCAAAUAGCUCUAUGGACUCUGCAUUUCAGUUUUGCUUUUGUUGUUGGAGCGCCUCUCCUCCCCACUCCUAGCUGGAUGUAAGUAAGUUCUGUAGGCCAGGAA
rnacentral:lncRNA from 1 species